GUCCCUGUGGUGCACACAGUUAAUACACUCGGCUGCUAACUGAAAGGUUGGAGGUUCGAGUCCACCCAGAGGCA
rnacentral:tRNA from 1 species